rnacentral:rRNA from 1 species
UACGGAGGGUGCAAGCGUUAAUCGGAAUUACUGGGCGUAAAUCGCACGCAGGCGGUCUGUCAAGUCGGAUGUGAAAUCCCCGGGCUCAACCUGGGAACUGCAUUCGAAACUGGCAGGCUAGAGUCUUGUAGAGGGGGGUAGAAUUCCAGGUGUAGCGGUGAAAUGCGUAGAGAUCUGGAGGAAUACCGGUGGCGAAGGCGGCCCCCUUGACAAAGACUGACGCUCAGGUGCGAAAGCGUGGGGAGCAAAGAGGAUUAGAUACCCUGGUAGUCCACGCCGUAAACGAUGUCGAUUUGGAGGUUGUGCCCUUGAGGCGUGGCUUCCGGAGCUAACGCGUUAAAUCGACCGCCUGGGGAGUACGGCCGCAAGGUUAAA